GCCUCGGUGGUGUAGUAGUUAAAACGCUAGCCUGGUAAACAGGAGGGCGUGGGUUCAAUCCCAGCCGAGGUA
rfam:Asian citrus Psyllid, Diaphorina citri - Florida Strain, whole genome shotgun sequence.